rnacentral:misc_RNA from 1 species
AGGAGCAUCUUUUUGUGGAGGAGGAGACGCAGGAACACUUGCAUCAGUGGAGUCUGAAGACGAUGAAUAUGUGGGGAUUUUUGUUUUGCCUUUUCCUUUUUCUGGCGCCAUAACCAACUCAGAAGCAAAUUAGGCCGCAAGGACAGUGAAAACUGGGUUCACAAAUUUAAUGAUGUGAGCAGUUAAUAUAUAUAACUAUUCGAAGCACAUCAAUAUAUUUCUAGCACAACUUAGCACAAUGUCAUAAAAAUAGAACAGACAGCUAGAGAUAUUCGGGUUUUUUAGAAUCCAUGGCAACCGAUUCAUGAUUUUGUUAUAUACCACAUUUUUACGAAAUGUUAAUGCCCAAA